rnacentral:rRNA from 1 species
AGCAGCCGCGGUAAUUCCAGCUCCAAUAGCGUAUAUUAAAGUUGUUGCAGUUAAAAAGCUCGUAGUUGAAUUUCGGGAUUAAUUUAUUGGUCGUGCUAUUGUACGUACUGGUAUUAUUGAUUCCUACCUUCUGACGAACCACGAUGUCAUUAAUUUGGUGUCAUGGGGAAUCAGGACUGUUACUUUGAAAAAAUUAGAGUGUUUAAAGCAGGCUCACGCUUGAAUACAUUAGCAUGGAAUAACGAAAUAGGACGUUUGAUUCUAUUUUGUUGGUUUCUAGGAUCGACGUAAUGAUUAAUAGGGAUAGUUGGGGGCAUUAGUAUUCAAUUGUCAGAGGUGAAAUUCUUGGAUUUAUUGAAGACUAACUACUGCGAAAGCAUUUGCCAAGGAUGUUUUCAUUAAUCAAGAACGAAAGUUAGGGGAUCGAAGACGAUCAGAUACCGUCGUAGUCUUAACCAUAAACUAUAGCCGACUAGGGAUCGGAUGAUGUUAAUUUUUAAUGACUCAUUCGGCGCCGUUA